AGUGGAGUGAAUGCCAGGUGUGCUGCUUCCAGUUCCAGGGAAGAUGUUCCCAUCCUAAGAUCCCCGGAGAUGGCAAGAGGUCUCUGGACAUGCUGGAUUGCUCAGGACGGUGGUGUGGCAGUGGAGUGAAUGCCAGGUGCCCUGCUUCCAUUUCCAGGAAAGAUCUUCCCAUCCUAAGAUACCUGGAGAUGGCAAUGGGUAUCUGGACAUGCACAGCAUAAGGUUUUCUUGCCGCUGCUGGAUCAUUCUUGAUGAAAAAUUUCCACAGAUAAACUGUAUAGAAUGAUGCAGCACUUCAGUAAAUAAAGUUCAACAUGGAACUAUCAGAGGUUUUUUAUGAAAGCUAUUUUUUCACCUCAAGAACUGACAUGAUAGAGAGUAUCAUGGAUAAGUCUGACAUCAAAACCUGAGAAGCUGGUGGGAAUUCCCAUACGAUUGGGUGUCAUGGAAUCCCAUAGAAUGUCAUUGUCGAACCAAUGAAGUAUUGAUUUUGUCAUUUGUACCAGCGCCCUUAUCUGGGAAU